rnacentral:rRNA from 1 species
AUACGUAGGUGGCAAGCGUUAUCCGGAUUUACUGGGUGUAAAGGGCGUGUAGGCGGGCCUGCAAGUCAGGUGUGAAAUUCCAGGGCUCAACCCUGGAACUGCACUUGAAACUGUGGGUCUUGAGUGAUGGAGAGGCAGGCGGAAUUCCGGGUGUAGCGGUGAAAUGCGUAGAUAUACGGAGGAACACCAGUGGCGAAGGCGGCCUGCUGGACAUUAACUGACGCUGAGGCGCGAAAGCGUGGGGAGCAAACAGGAUUAGAUACCCUGGUAGUCCACGCUGUAAACGAUGGAUACUAGGUGUGGGGGGUCUGACCCCCUCCGUGCCGCAGUUAACACAAUAAGUAUCCCACCUGGGGAGUACGAUCGCAAGGUUGAAACUCAAAUGAAUUGACGGGG